rnacentral:rRNA from 1 species
UGGUGGAGUGAUUUGUCUGGUUAAUUCCGUUAACGAACGAGACCUCGACCUGCUAAAUAGUGACCAGAAUUCAUCGAAUUUUGUGUCAACUUCUUAGAGGGACUAUCGGUGCGUAGCCGAUGGAAGUUCGAGGCAAUAACA